rnacentral:rRNA from 1 species
GACGAACGCUGGCGGCGUGCCUAAUACAUGCAAGUUGAGCGAUGAAGCUUGGUGCUUGCACCUAUUUGAAGAGCAGCGAACGGGUGAGUAACGCGUGGGGAAUCUGCCUUUGAGCGGGGGACAACAUUUGGAAACGAAUGCUAAUACCGCAUAACAACUUUAAACAUAAGUUUUAAGAUUGAAAGAUGCAAUUGCAUCACUCAAAGAUGAUCUCGCGUUGUAUUAGCUAGUUGGUGAGGUAAAGGCUCACCAAGGCGAUGAUACAUAGCCGACCUGAGAGGGGGAUCGGCCACAUUGGGACUGAGACACGGCCCAAACUCCCACGGGAGGCAGCAGUAGGGAAACUUCGGCAAUUGACGAAAGGCUGACCGGGCAACGCCGCGUGGGUGAAGAAGGGUUUCGGAUCGUAAAACUCUGUUGGUAGGGGAGAAAGUUAGGGGGAGUGGAAAACUCAUCAAGUGACGGUAACUACCCAGAAAGGGACGGCUAACUACGUG